UACGUAGGGUCCGAGCGUUGUCCGGAAUUAUUGGGCGUAAAGAGCUCGUAGGCGGUUUGUCGUGUCUGCUGUGAAAUCCCGAGGCUCAACCUCGGGUCUGCAGUGGGUACGGGCAGACUGGAGUGCGGUAGGGGGAGAAUGGAAUUCCUGGUGUAGCGGUGGAAUGCGCAGAUAUCAGGAGGAACACCAACGGCGAAGGCAGCACUCUGGGCCGGUACUGACGCUGAGGAGCGAAAAGCGUGGGGGAGCAAACAGG
rnacentral:rRNA from 1 species